rnacentral:rRNA from 1 species
GACGAACGCUGGCGGCGUGCUUAACACAUGCAAGUCGAACGGAAAGGCCCUGCUUUUGUGGGGUGCUCGAGUGGCGAACGGGUGAGUAACACGUGAGUAACCUGCCCUUGACUUUGGGAUAACUUCAGGAAACUGGGGCUAAUACCGGAUAGGAGCUCCUGCUGCAUGGUGGGGGUUGGAAAGUUUCGGCGGUUGGGGAUGGACUCGCGGCGUAUCAGCUUGUUGGUUGGGUAGUGGCUUACCAAGGCUUUGACGGGUAGCCGGCCUGAGCGGGUGACCGGCCACAUUGGGACUGAGAUGCGGCACAGACUCCUACGGGAGGCAGCAGUGGGGAAUAUUGCACAAUGGGCGGAAGCCUGAUGCAGCAACGCCGCGUGCGGGAUGACGGCCUUCGGGUUGUAAACCGCUUUCGCCUGUGACGAAGCGUGAGUGACGGUAAUGGGUAAAGAAGCACCGGCUAACUACGUG